rnacentral:misc_RNA from 1 species
GAUGAAGAACGCAGCGAAAUGCGAUAAGUAAUGUGAAUUGCAGAAUUCAGUGAAUCAUCGAAUCUUUGAACGCACCUUGCGCCCUUUGGCUAUUCUGAAGGGCAUGCCUGUUUGAGUAUCGUGAACACCUCAACUCUCAUGGUCUGCCAUGAUGAGCUUGGACUUUGGGGGUCUUGCUGGCCUACUGUCAGCUCCUCUCAAAUGAAUCAGCUUACCAGUGUUUGGUGGCACCACAGGUGUGAUAACUAUCUACGCUUGUGGUUUUCCACCAGGGUAACCUUCAGCAGUGGAGGUUCACUGGAGCUUACAAAUGUCUCUCCUCCGUGAGGACAGCCCUUUGAAUGUUUGAUCUCAAAUCAGGUAGGACUACCCGCUGAACUUAAGCAUAUCAAUAAGCGGAGGA